UCCACAUUGAAACACUUGGUGAAGUCCAGAUUCCUGUAUCUCUACAGGAUAUUGACAAACUAAAAACAGUUUCCGGGGAGUUAUCUUAUGGAAGAGGAUGCAGCAUUCCUCUCGAAAACUCUUUAAGAUUAGCAAAGGAGAUAACAAUGCCGAAAGUGCUCUUUUCAACUCAUGAGAGUUAUGACAUUUGGUCAAUUGUUGGAUGCCAUCUACGGCUACCUGUUGAUGUUAUAGAUGUAGAAAUCAAGCUGACUAAAUUAUUGUUAUAUGAAGCUGGCGGCCAUUACAAAGAAAUAGUCUGUGAUCCCAAACAUUGUGGAACUUUUGGUACGGUGAUUCUUCAAUUACCUGUUGAAGGUGGUCAACUGGUCAUGAAGGCGGAGGAAAUGAACAAAUCAUCUUUUAGACACGCAAUGAAACCGGAAGCGCUGGAGCGCCCCGGAAAAAGCCAAUAAAAAAAGCAACAGCAGAAGAGAGAGAGAUCUAAAGAACAAUGAUGAAUUAACACGCAAGUUAUAAGAAAGAUCAAUUCAAACGUUUAAAUCUUGAAAAGUAUAUCUAGCAUCUCCGUCGGGAGUCGGGACGGUGCUCUCUUCCAUUAGCGCUCAACAUCAGAGACCAAGGGAUUCUCUCUGACUUAUUUAACUGGCAGUAGAAAGUUGCUGCCAACACGGGCUCCAUCACUUCCGAUUUACUGUUCUUCCCGGUAAUAUAUAUACAAUAUCAUCCAAAAGGGUAUGCAGCAGUCAUCGGAAUGUAACACGCUCACAUUGUCCCCGUAUAGCAUAUAAGAGUAGAGAGGGUACAUGUUGUACAUAUAUACCGGGUCAUGAAAUAAUACUGAUCGCAUACUCAUCUGGACUUCCUAUAUGAAAGUUAUAUUCUCUUUUUCGAUUAGAACCAAGUACCUACAGCGAGAGAGCGGGGGCCGAAUUAGAAAAGUCCAUUGCUGCUCUCGUUAGAUAUUUCCUAUGGAUUUUUCACGUUGCAGUCCUGGAUGCAUUAUAUACGCUUCGACUUCCCCGAAAAUUGUCUAGCCAACACAACCCCCGCAUCCAGCACAGCAAGAAAUACAUACAUAAAUGUAUAGUAGCCUACG